AGAUUUGUGCAGCCCUCACCGCUAGUUCCAGAACAUCCUGUGGCCCCAGAGGAAGAAGUCCCAUCCAACUCCAGGAGCAGUCCCCCUGCCCCGACCCUCCCAGCCCUGCACCCCCGAGGCCACUUCCUGUCUGUGGAGCCGCCUGUCCUGGGCGUUUCCUGUCCAUGGAGCCUACGCUGUGUCCUCCAUGUCUGGCGUCUCUCAUUGAGCAGGGAGUCCUCAAGGUCCGUCCACGCUGUGUUCGCCGUGUGCUGCCGUGGCUCGCAGGAGACCAG
ensembl:lncRNA